GACGAACGCUGGCGGCGUGCUUAACACAUGCAAGUCGAACGGAAAGGCCCUGCUUUUGUGGGGUGCUCGAGUGGCGAACGGGUGAGUAACACGUGAGUAACCUGCCCUUGACUUUGGGAUAACUUCAGGAAACUGGGGCUAAUACCGGAUAGGAGCUCCUGCUGCAUGGUGGGGGUUGGAAAGUUUCGGCGGUUGGGGAUGGACUCGCGGCUUAUCAGCUUGUUGGUGGGGUAGUGGCUUACCAAGGCUUUGACGGGUAGCCGGCCUGAGAGGGUGACCGGCCACAUUGGGACUGAGAUACGGCCCAGACUCCUAUGGGAGGCAGCAGUGGGGAAUAUUGCACAAUGGGCGGAAGCCUGAUGCAGCAACGCCGCGUGCGGGAUGACGGCCUUCGGGUUGUAAACCGCUUUCGCCUGUGACGAAGCGUGAGUGACGGUAAUGGGUAAAGAAGCACCGGCCAACUACGUG
rnacentral:rRNA from 1 species